rnacentral:rRNA from 1 species
CAGCCGCCGCGGUAAUACCGGCGGCCCGAGUGGCGGCCACUAUUAUUGGGCCUAAAGCGUCCGUAGCCGGGCUGGUAAGUCCCCCGGGAAAUCUGGCCGCUUAACGGUCAGAAUGCCGGAGGAUACUCCCAGCCUAGGGAGCGGGAGAGGCCGAGGGUAUUCCCGGAGUAGGGGUGAAAUCCUAUAAUCCCGGGAGGACCACCUGUGGCGAAGGCGCUCGGCUGGAACGCGUCCGACGGUGAGGGACGAAGGCCAGGGGAGCAAACCGGAUUAGAUACCCGGGUAGUCCUGGCUGUAAACGAUGCGGACUUUGUGUCGGACAAGCUAUGAGCUUGUCCGGUGCCGGAGGGAAACCGUUAAGUCCGCCGCCUGGGGAGUACGGCCGCAAGGCUGAAACUUAAAGGAAUUGGAGGG